rnacentral:rRNA from 1 species
UGAGGAAUAUUGCGCAAUGGAGGCAACUCUGACGCAGCCAUGCCGCGUGCAGGAAGAAGGCGCUACGCGUUGUAAACUGCUUUUAAUCGGAAAGAAACCCCGGGACGUGUCCCGGGUUGACGGUACCGAUGGAAUAAGCACCGGCUAACUUCGUGCCAGCAGCCGCGGUAAUACGAAGGGUGCAAGCGUUAUCCGGAUUCAUUGGGUUUAAAGGGUGCGUAGGCGGAACAAUAAGUCAGCGGUGAAAGCCCGCAGCUUAACUGCGGAAUUGCCGUUGAUACUGUUGUUCUUGAGUACGUUUGACGUGGGCGGAAUGUGCCGUGUAGCGGUGAAAUGCUUAGAUAUGGCACAGAACACCGAUAGUGAAGACAGCUCACGAAAGCGAAACUGACGCUGAGGCAC